GCCAACGUGGCGUCGUGGUUUGAGUGUUGGACUACGACUCUGGAGUCCCGGGUUCGAGUCCCUGCUCGGCC